rnacentral:rRNA from 1 species
UCAGGACGAACGCUGGCGGCGUGCCUAAUACAUGCAAGUCGAGCGGACAGAUGGGAGCUUGCUCCCUGAUGUUAGCGGCGGACGGGUGAGUAACACGUGGGUAACCUGCCUGUAAGACUGGGAUAACUCCGGGAAACCGGGGCUAAUACCGGAUGGUUGUUUGAACCGCAUGGUUCAAACAUAAAAGGUGGCUUCGGCUACCACUUACAGAUGGACCCGCGGCGCAUUAGCUAGUUGGUGAGGUAACGGCUCACCAAGGCAACGAUGCGUAGCCGACCUGAGAGGGUGAUCGGCCACACUGGGACUGAGACACGGCCCAGACUCCUACGGGAGGCAGCAGUAGGGAAUCUUCCGCAAUGGACGAAAGUUUGACGGAGCAACGCCGCGUGAGUGAUGAAGGUUUUCGGAUCGUAAAGCUCUGUUGUUAGGGAAGAACAAGUACCGUUCG